AAGACUGGGAUAACUAUCGGAAACGAUAGCUAAGACCGGAUAACUGGUACUCUCGCAUGAGAGAAUCAUAAAACACGGAGCAAUCUGUGGCUUGAAGAUGGGCCUGCGGCGCAUUAGCUAGUUGGUGAGGUAACGGCUCACCAAGGCGACGAUGCGUAGCCGACCUGAGAGGGUGAACGGCCACACUGGGACUGAGACACGGCCCAGACUCCUACGGGAGGCAGCAGUAGGGAAUCUUCCGCAAUGGACGCAAGUCUGACGGAGCAACGCCGCGUGAGUGAUGAAGGUUUUCGGAUCGUAAAGCUCUGUUGCCCUAGACGAACAGCAAGGAGAGUAACUGCUCUUUGUGUGACGGUAUAGGAGAAGAAAGCCCCGGCUAACUACGUGCCAGCAGCCGCGGUAAUACGUAGGGGGCAAGCGUUGUCCGGAAUUAUUGGGCGUAAAGCGCGCGCAGGCGGUCAUUUAAGUCUGGUGUUUAAGCCCGGGGCUCAACCCCGGUUCGCAUCGGAAACUGGAUGACUUGAGUGUA
rnacentral:rRNA from 2 species